GUCAAUAAUCUUUGAGGAUUUAUGCUAAUUUAACCAGAAAUGCUCUUUCAGAACAUGGAUUUAUCACAUGUCAUAGAACACUGAAGUCACAUUAGAAUGUGGUUAAUUUCUCCACUGAGCUUAGAAGCACAUGGUUUGCAGAACAUUGGCUACAGUAAGAACAUACUCUGCAUAAGAGAGGGUUCAACAUUAACAACAAUGUCUGUAAAAACAGAAUCACAGCUGUCAAGAAGAGUGCUUUCUCCAUGUAUUGUGAAACACAUCCAUCUGGAUCCACCUAUUUAAGCUACAUGCCUAGCCCCCAGAGUCAUCCAGACUUUUAGCAUAAGAACUCAAAUGAGAAAUCAUGAAGAAUGCAUUAACUGAAUCCAACAUCACCUACAGGACCCUGGGCCCAUUGCACUUUGUAAUUGUAUUACUUUUCUUCUGGUUAUCUUCAUAGGAUCUUAGGUAUACUCUCUCUGAAAAGUGUUAAAGACAACUUCUCCCUGGGCCUGAGAAUAAAUUAUCUUUUUCCUAUCGCUGUAUAUUUUUGUUUGUUUGUUUCGUUUUUUUGUUUUUUGUUUUUUCCUGGCUGGAUAGGGAAGUGAUCAAGCCACAAGUGAGGAGCUGCAGUGGCCCAUGAACAAUACAUAGGUCCAUCUCCUGGAACUUGUGACCACUCGCCCAGGAUCGCACUCAUGACCACAACAAAGAUGAUGGCUUUUCUGUUUCUCCGGCUGCACCACAUCAGACACCUGUGGCAAAUAUUGAGGCAACACUAUGUGAAGUCUGACUAGUGACUCUUAGAGACUCCAACUAAUGGCUUCUCUGGGAGGGAUAAAAUAGGGCACAUGAAAUUAUCUUGUUGAGAAUACAUAGGUAUGUUUAUAGACUCACAUAUAUUUCAUUUAUAAAUAUAAAAUUAUUUUAGACUGAGUUACAAUUUUUAUGGUAAAAAUAAGUAGAAUAAUAGCAUUUAAA
ensembl:lincRNA